AUUGAACGCUGGCGGCAUGCCUUACACAUGCAAGUCGAACGGCAGCGGGCCUUCGGGUGCCGGCGAGUGGCGAACGGGUGAGUAAUGCAUCGGAACGUGCCAUUGAGUGGGGGGAUAACGUAGCGAAAGUUGCGCUAAUACCGCAUAUUCUGUGAGCAGGAAAGCAGGGGACCGCAAGGCCUUGCGCUCUUUGAGCGGCCGAUGUCAGAUUAGCUAGUUGGUGAGGUAAAGGCUUACCAAGGCGACGAUCUGCAGCGGGUCUGAGAGGAUGAUCCGCCACACUGGAACUGAGACACGGUCCAGACUCCUACGGGAGGCAGCAGUGGGGAAUUUUGGACAAUGGGGGCAACCCUGAUCCAGCCAUGCCGCGUGAGUGAAGAAGGCCU
rnacentral:rRNA from 1 species